rnacentral:rRNA from 1 species
CCUCAUGCCUUCUUCUCUCCCUCUGCCCAUCAAGCGCCAAACGCGGCGACCUCCCCAACUCGUGCAUGCGUCGCACUGCUCCCCACCCCGCGGCGGCCCGGCUACCUACAACCGCCGCCGCCCUGUCAGAUCCGGCGAGAUCCGGCGCAUCCCACCUCCAUUGCCCCGUGUAGGGACUUCGGGUGCCUGGAUCUGGCGCCUCUGCCCCCGAGAGCAGCCAUGGCGCCCCUGCCCCCUACUUCUCGCCGGCACCUCCAGUGGUCGUGGCCGCCGGCGACUGUCGGAUCCGGCCUCCACCGCGCCUGUAGCCACUGGAUCCGUGGAUCCCCCAGGCGGGUGUGCCCCUGUUAGCCCCACAUCGCCGACCACGUGUCCGGUGGCUCACAGUAGCGGCGCGGCUCGGUAGGCUCCGUGGCUGACUCUGCCUACGAGCGUGCAGUUCUGCCCACACGGGCGUGCAGCUCGACCAACGGAGCAUUGCAGUUCGGCUGACGGCACCGAUGGCUUCCGGUGAAUUCUCGCUUGGACGGCGGUGCGACGUUCAGUUCAAUCACUUGGGCGAGCGGUUCGGCGGCCGUAUGGUUGCGGUGUAGUGCGCCAUCAUGCGCAGUUCUGUAGGCGUGUACUCCGGCCUCCCCGUAGCCGCUGUGCGCAACUGCUCAUCUUCGCGGGCCCGGGCGCGCCGCCGCUCCCCUUUAUCUUCUGUGUGCCUUCCUCCACAACACACAGCGCGGAUCCAAAAAGAUCUCGGCCACCGGCGAGCGGUCACGCCAAGCUUCUCGGUCGCGUUUUCUCCCUGAUUGUACUUCAUUUCAAUCCUUUUGAAGCUCGCUAAAUUAUGUUUUGCAGUUCACCGUGAGAUCCAUGGCGCUGGCCACGCCGCGCCUUCUCCUGCUGCUCCAUCUAAGGCGAGGACGGGCUCUGCCGCGCCAGGAAACAGGGUGUGGCCUGGCACCGGCGAUUACAGCGUGGUGGUUCUCUAAUUCCCCAACAACAAAAGCUGCAGUGAGGCUACCGCACGGUUGAAGUUCAGCAGUAAUUUUGCUGCUUUUUCAUAUUUUGCUUGGGCGCAAUACUACACUUCUCCUGGGUCUGCAGUCCACCGACGAGACAGCUCGUGGUUGGAUGUGAUCGCUUUGCUAUUCGCUUCUGGGAGUGCGGGAGUGCUCUUGUACCACUGAUAGUUGGAUUGCUUUUUUGUUUGUAAAGAAGGUUAAGUGCAAUGCGGUUCAGUUAAGUCAUUUUUGCAGGAGAAGACGAAGAUAAAGUGCACUGCACAUAUUUGUUGAGCCUAAUAAAAAGUUAAAUUGCACGUCUAGGUUCUAGAGGAAAAGGUGCAGUGCACUUGUCUCAAACGAUAGUCCAUUUUUUUCACUUUCAAGGUUCACUGCUCAUGUUUGGGGCAGCUUGCUAUAUUUUUGUUUCGUUUUGGGGGUGUUCAUACAAAAAGGCAAGAUUUAGUUUGUAAUUAUUUGAAGAAAUCUCAUGUAGUUCAUUUGUAUGAAGACUUGUGGUUUGCUGUGUAAAAAGAAGAUGAAAACAAACAAUGCAGUACACUAGCCUCGAGGGUGGACAUGAAGUGCACUCCACCUCGUUUGGAAAAAUUUACGUCCCAC